UGGGGGUGUUUCUGACGUAUUUGGUCGAUGAUGAUUCCGAUCUAAAUCGGAUGUUGAUCUGAGACUUUCAGCGUGAUAUCUGGCUAUAUCUUCUUCACUCGAACGUUUUGGGUUAUUUUUCUGACGUUCUCGAGUCGAUUCCGGCGAGGCUUCGGAUUUUAGGAUUUCUGCUGUUCGAAACUGGCAUUUUUCUGUUAAUCGAAGGCCGAUCUUCUCCGGUCGCGAAG
rnacentral:lncRNA from 1 species